UGGGCGUCGAGCGGCGGACGGGUGAGUAAUGCCUAGGAAAUUGCCUUGAUGUGGGGGAUAACCAUUGGAAACGAUGGCUAAUACCGCAUAAUGCCUACGGGCCAAAGAGGGGGAUCUUCGGACCUCUCGCGUCAAGAUAUGCCUAGGUGGGAUUAGCUAGUUGGUGAGGUAAUGGCUCACCAAGGCGACGAUCCCUAGCUGGUCUGAGAGGAUGAUCAGCCACACUGGAACUGAGACACGGUCCAGACUCCUACGGGAGGCAGCAGUGGGGAAUAUUGCACAAUGGGCGAAAGCCUGAUGCAGCCAUGCCGCGUGUAUGAAGAAGGCCUUCGGGUUGUAAAGUACUUUCAGUUGUGAGGAAGGG
rnacentral:rRNA from 1 species